AGUUGCUAGUAAUCGCGAAUCAGAAUGUCGCGGUGAAUGCGUUCCCGGGUCUUGUACACACCGCCCGUCACACCAUGGGAGUCGGAAAUGCCCGAAGUCUGUGACCCAACCUGAGAGGGAGGGAGCAGCCGAAGGCAGGUCUGAUGACUGGGGUGAAGUCGUAACAAGGUACC
rnacentral:rRNA from 1 species